rnacentral:snRNA from 1 species
AAAAUUGCCUUUCCUUGAUAUUGUGAUCAUGAAGGUGGUUUUCUCAGGGCAAGGUUCGUCCACUGUUCUCUGGAUGUGCUGAUUCCUGCAAUUCCCCCAAAUGCGGGAAACUCAACUGCAUAAUUUGUGGUAGUGGGUGACUGCAUUUGCAAUCUCCCC